rnacentral:tRNA from 1 species
GUUGUGGCUCAGUGGUAGAGUGUUUAUCUAGCAUGUGUGAGGCACUGGGUUCAAUCCUCAGCACAAUA